rnacentral:lncRNA from 1 species
UGUACAUGUACCCUAGAACUAAAAGUAUAAUAAAAAAAAAAUGAAAUAUGAAAAAAAAAGAAAAAAACCCCCAAAAAACUCAAUUUUGUUAGUAACUAAAAAAAAAAAAAAGAAAGAAAGAAAAAGGACUAGAAUCUGUGUGUGACCAAAGUGCCAUGCUUCUAUCUUAACUUCUCUCAGGCCAUCCUUCCUCUUGAAGAAUAUUAUAUAUCCAGAAAGAAGAGAUCAAAAUAACUGAUUCCAAAGUGCUGUUCUGAUACUACAUUCCCAAAACAGACCUACAAUGAAGCAAAUGGAAAAUGUAUUCUGAUCAUGAUCCUUUCUUGUAUUAUUCACCACUUUGGAAGACACAGAGAUAUUGACUCUUUGGCUGGUGACCAUAGAUCUGGUAAGUGCAGACUCUCUGGAACCAGGAAAAUUAAGACUGAGAGAAACAUGAUUUCAAUGACAUCUGGCUAAUGCAACAUCAUAGCAAAUGGCAAAAACUGUGAGAACAUGACUCUUUCCAAGGAUAACUAGUUGAAUAGGCUAGAUGAUGUAACAAACAAUGCAAAAUUGUCAUGAAUGCAGAACAUAGAAGCUUCUUUCUUGCCCACAUAUAAUCCAGUGAAGGCCAGGGGGCUUUAGUUCCACAUAGUCAGAGACUGAAGGCUCUAUAGUCUUGUCAAUCCACUUUCCUCUAGGGCCUUAGUCAACUCCAUUUAGUUGGCGGAUGGGGAAAUAGAACAAGCAUCCAGUUUAGGAGGUCUUCAUGGCCCAAGACAUGAAGUGGUACCUUUCAAUUCUACUCACUUUUCUUUGGUUCGAACUCAGUAGUGUGACCAACCACAUCUACCACAAAGGAGACUGGAAAGUGUGGUUUGGUGCCCACAAGAAAAUUAAUGCAGUUUAUUGAUGGCGCCAGUUACUGAUGAACACCAACAGUCUCGCCUGCAUAAAGGCUAUUAGUGGUAGCUCAGGUCCACAUGAAUUCUGUUUAAGAAAAUUAUUUCCUUCCUUCUUUCCUAUAUUAAACAGAUUUUUGUCAUAAGCUUGCAAUGUGCAGGCAUGUGCUAAAUGCAUGGGAUUAUAAUGAUGAUAAUACACAGAACCUAUUCUCAUAGAGAACUAGUCACAAACAGAAAAAUAGCAAAAAGAGGGCAAUAUACCUGGUGCUUGCUUUAGAUGGUGUGGCCUCUGGACUGAUAUGGCUCUGGCUCCACAGAUUGGAGCUCCUUAAAAUAAUGCUAGAUUCUCAGUAUCUAUUUGUUGGGAGAGUUGAUCCCUUCGAGCUCUGGCAUUUUAAG